GAGGGCCUGGAUACAAUAAAAAAGAAGAGAAAAGGUGAAUUCACGCUGCUUGAGCUGGGACAUCCAUCUUCUGCCUUCAGACUUCAGUGCUUCCGGUUCUCAGGUCUGGGCACUGGGACCAGGACUUACACCAUAUACUCCCACCCCUUUUCUGGCCUUCAGUCUCAGACUUACACCCUUGGCUCCCCAGGUUCUCAGGCCUUUGGGCUUUCCUGGGGCUCCAGUUUGCAGAUGGUGGGACCUUUCACUCUCCAUAAUCUUGUGGCCAAUCCCUUGUAAUACAUUUACAUAUCUGUAUGUAUCCUAUUGAUUUGUUUCUCUAGAGAACCCUGACUGAUACAGAUUCCCUCUGAGUUGUGCACUCUCCAUUGUCACCUCUGUGAAGACGACCUCAGGUCCAGCCAACUGUUCUUUUUAUUCUGCUGGGAGUGGCUCCUACCUGUCACUUAACCACAUAGUAUCACACCUAGCUGGUUGGUUCAGCGUUUUCCUUCCCUAGGAAACCGCAAGCGCUCAGCUGUGGUACAUAUUACUCAGCUUAUCUCCGGGACCUCAAAAGGAGCCUGAGCGCUCAGUAUGUGCAGUAUGAGCGCUCAGUAUGAACCAAUCAAUGCAAGAACGAACGUGCCACCCAGGCUUGCAGGCUUGCAAAGUGCUUCUCCGAGCGGAUUUUGCUUUCUGUGCCCGGGCACCUCCUCUGAAUUGCACGGUAGAGGUCAGGAGGUUUUUUUUUCGGGGGGCUGUGGGGUACCAGUGGAAGGAGAAUGUGAGCUGGAGGCCGAACCGCAGUCACCCGGGCCGCCCGCGUCCGGUGAGCUGCAAGGGACCGGACAACUUCUUAACCUCCCGGAAGCGGCUCCGGGCCCCGGCCCGCCCCUCCGGAAGGUGGGCGUGGCCCUCAUGAAUAAUGAAUCGCGGCGGGGGAGCGGCCGGGCCCGCCCCCUCGGGCGGGAAGGGGGAAGCGCCGAGGCUGCCUGACUGGAAUGAGGGUAGCUGCGGCGACGGCGGCGGCGGGAGCGGGGCCGGCCAUGGCGGUGUGGACGCGGGCCACCAAAGCGGGGCUGGUGGAGCUGCUGCUGAGGGAGCGCUGGGUCCGGGUGGUGGCCGAGCUCAGCGGGGAGAGCCUGAGCCUGACGGGCGACGCCGCCGCGGCCGAGCCGGAGCCCACUCUGGGGCCGGCGGCGGGCGCCUUCAACGGCCUCCCGAACGGCGGCGGCGCCGGCGACUCGCUGCCCGGGAGCCCGAGCCGCGGCCUGGGGCCCCCGAGCCCGCCGGCGCCGCCGCGGGGCUCCGCCGGCGAGGCGGGCGCGUCGCCGCCCGUGCGCCGGGUCCGAGUGGUGAAGCAGGAGGCGGGCGGCCUGGGCAUCAGCAUCAAGGGCGGCCGCGAGAACCGGAUGCCGAUCCUCAUCUCCAAGAUCUUCCCGGGGCUGGCCGCCGACCAGAGCCGGGCGCUGCGGCUGGGCGACGCCAUCCUGUCGGUGAACGGCACCGACCUGCGCCAGGCCACCCACGACCAGGCCGUGCAGGCGCUGAAGCGCGCGGGCAAGGAGGUGCUGCUGGAGGGUGAGCGGGGCCGGCGGGCGGCGGGUGGCCUGGGCUCGCCGGCGCUCACUUUGUUCCUGCCCCGGCCCCUUCGCGGGGCGAGCCCCUUUCCUCCGCCUCUCUCCCCAAACUCCGGCUUCUGGGGCUUUGAGUGUGGAAGAACUGAUGUUCCUUGCAGGAAAAGUUGGGCAGCCUCCGAAGUGUGGCUUGCAGCCCCUAACUAAGGAAGACUCGGCUGAGAUUUAGCAAAAAGCAGCCGCGUAGGAAGCCCCCCCUUCUGCACCAUAAGCUGACACUAAGAACUAGACGGAGACCGAACGGCUCGAGCUCCGUAGGUCUCCGUUUGCCUGCUGAGAAGUGCCCGGUUGGCGCUUUUCUUCGCUCACCUCUGGCUCCCCGGGGCGGGCGGAUCUAUUAAAAAAAAAAAAAAAAUCCAUCCACACCGAUGCCAGCGGUGUGCUUGGGCAAACCACCAAAACGCUGGUUAAUUUAUGGGAAUUUAACCCAUCAUUGGCUCUCAAGAGUAACCAAAGGAGAUCAUAGCACUUCGUGGAAGCCAGAUAGCUGAAGCAGCAAGUUUGUGUGGUUAAUGAGCCUUGUUUCACUGGAGGCUCACGUGUUUGAACAUUUACUGCCAACUAGAGUUUCGCCCCUUUUGCAAAAGACUGGUGCCAGCUUCCUACCGCUUACAGGCGUGCUGUUUGAAGACUAUUAGGCUUUUUAUAAGAAACUUGAAGUGGUAAAUUACAAGAUGGGUCUGAAUGGCCAGGAUUAUUCUUUACCUUAAAUAUGUAUGUAAUCUGUAAAUGGGAUCUUUUAUGACGAAUUUAUGAAGCUAAGACAGCAUUAAAUCUCCUCUAAGGACUCAUGCA